GUGCAAAAAGGGGUAGCUCGAUACGCCUGUGCUCACACAGAAGGUGAUGGGUUUUUUACCUGCUGGCCGGGCGGCGCGGCUCUGCCGCGUCAAGCGGUCGCGGGUUCGAGACAGACUUGUCUGUCCUACAUAACCUGCUUACUUAUGUUUGCAAUGCAGGUGGGAAAUUCGGUGGAACGCUGCGCCGUGUGCGUCCGCUAGGUACACUGUCUGCUGCCAGCUCCGCUGGACUCCGAGAGGAGGCCCCGUCGAGACGGCGGGGCUACACGCCUGUCAUCAGAAAGAUUUAAGUCGUCUUGUGCGACAUGGGAUCCCGGACAGCGGGCGCGGCGGUCGGCUGGUGGUUGGGUGUAUCGGACGGCGGGCGGACACUGGUGCUUGGCUUCGCGAGGAGUAACUCCGAAGGCUCAGCUGAGUGCAAUUGUAGGAUUCUCCAUGGCAUAUGCCGGGAGAAACCCCGAUACCGAUUACAGACAGCUGUCUCCCAUC